rnacentral:rRNA from 1 species
UACAGAGGGUGCAAGCGUUGUUCGGAAUUACUGGGCGUAAAGGGCUCGUAGGCGGCCAACUAAGUCAGACGUGAAAUCCCUAGGCUCAACCUAGGAACUGCGUCUGAUACUGGAUGGCUUGAAUCCGGGAGAGGGAUGCAGAAUUCCAGGUGUAGCGGUGAAAUGCGUAGAUAUCUGGAGGAACACCGGUGGCGAAGGCGGCAUCCUGGACCAACACUGACGCUGAGGAGCGAAAGCCAGGGGAGCAAAGCGGG